GUCCAGUUAAAGGUGAUUAUGGAGUUGUGGCACUCAUCUUGCUUUCAGGCAGAGGGAGCCAAUGUUUGUCCGCAGACAGCUUCCAGGUCAAGUGACCAGCAUGACUAAGCUGCUUCUGGCGCAACAGUUUCCCCAGUUGAUUUUGAGGAUUCUGAUCAUGGCCUCAAAGAGGUGUCCACUUGGUCUUUAUGCAUCUCCCAUUGUUCUCAUCAGGAAGAAGACAAAUUCGUUGAUAAUCGUGAUGGACUAAAGGCUUCUGAACAGUUUAGGCAUGAAGAAUACUUAUCUUUUACCAGGCAUAGAAGGAGCCUGAACUUGACUUGAAGAGUGAAUGUCAUGAUUGCAGUAGGAAAAGAAGAAAGACUCAAAACAUCAUCUAUUACUAUGGUGGGUAUUUGGCAGUUUCCUAUGAUGAUGCCACAGGGAUUGACAAAUGCUCUGGCAGUCUUCCAAACAAUGGUGGAACAUGUUAAGAAUGACAUCAGUAUCACUGAAGUCAUAGGAUUCUUGGAUUACUUAAUAUUUUCAGAAACCGCUGAUGAUCCUUAAGCAAGAUGUAUGAAGGUUCUUCCAUGUUUAGUGGAGCAGGAUUAAAACUGUCAGUUCCCAAGUGCAAGUUCUUCAGAACAUCUGCUAAAGUUUUGGAAUACCGAAGGAUGCACUCUGGUCUUUAAGGAGGAAGAUGUUGCAGCAGUUCCAGCUCAGGAUGAGUUUCCUUGGAAUGAAGAUCACUGAUGGGUUUAUGCGACACAAGGUUUUUAUUGACACAAUGCUGAGUGUAAGAUGGAAACUUCAUAGCAAAGUUUUACAGGCACUGUACAAUGAUAAACAAUAGCAAUAUCAACUAAGUUCCUGCCUGAAGACUUCCAAUCUAACAGGCACAAUUCAGAAGGGAAAAGAGUUGGGGAAGGAGCAGGAAAACAAGCAAAUUCAGGCAAUAAUUCCUCAUAAAACUGCACAAAUAUUUGAUGACAAGAUGGAAUGGCUUCUAAUGGAAAACAGGACUGGGAGUGGAAAAGUCAAACAUCAGCUGGUCCCAGAUGAGUUGUUGAAGUUGCAAGUGUAUGAUCUAACCCUGACAAGUUAUCAGCUUUGAAGGACUGUUCAAGGUUAAAAGCAGUAAGGAUGUUUCUGGAACCAUUGUAGAAUGCUCUGGUUACUGAUGAGAUGGCCAUCCUGUGUCUGGGCUGCACUACUUGAGACUGCAGGUGGAGGCUCUUACUGAAUGGGGGAAAUAUCCCUGCACUUAGAAAACUAGCCUGUCAGGGUGAGAGGUUCUAUCCUAGCCUUCUCCUUGAUUUGCUAGUUUUGCUUGUUUAUGGGUUUUCUCCAUCAUGUCCAUUCUCAAGUGGUACAGUACAGACAAAAAUGCAGUGUCUAAGUUAGAACUAGGCUAGCCCAGAGGUUCCCAGACUUUAUUCCCAUGGACCACUUGAAAACUGCUGAACAUCUUGACAAAUGACUUAAUGAUUUCUUUUUCUGCCUGUUGUAACAGCUGUAAUACACUGUGCUAGGUGCUGGAUGAUAUUUAAUGGUAGGUUUUUGGCUUAUUUUAUUUCUUAUAUACAGUGGUACCUUGGUUUACGAACUUAAUCCGUUCUGGAAGUCUGUUCUUAAACCAAAGCGUUCUGAAACCAAGGCGUGCUUUCCCAUAGCAGCGGGGGACUCAAUUUACAAAUGGCACACACUCAACAGGAAGGGAAACAUGUUCCUAUUCCAAGGCAAAGUUCACAGACCGAAACACCUGCUUCCGGGUUUGCAGUGUUCUUAUUCCAAGGUGUUCAUAAAAUAAGCUGUUCUCAAACCAAUGUACCACUGUACUGUAUUUGAUUGUAUUCCAUAUAAUUCAACUUGUAAUGCAAUAAAGUAAAAUUCAGUUAAAACCAAUAUGUCUAUGUAAUGCGGGAAUAGGCAAGCUCCGGCCCUCCAGAUGUUUGGGACUACAAUUCCCAUCAUCCCUGACCACUGGUCCUGUUAGCUAAGGAUGAUGGGAAUUGUAGUCCCAAACAUCUGGAGGGCCAGAGUCUGCCUAUGCCUGAUGUAAUGAGAUGGAUGUUCCCUUUCCCAUCUUCAACCACAUAUCCACAGACACUCUGCAGACCACCUGAAUGAAGCUUGUGGACCAUUGGUGGUCCACAGGCCACAGUUUGGGAGCCUCUGAACUAUCUUAGUAAUAAACCUUUGAAGUUACUUUUGAUAGGAACAGUAUAAGAAGGGAAGGAAGGAUACCAUGGCCUUGGAGUUGUCCAGAACUGAAAGAUCAAUGGACUGAUGAUCAUCAAGAAGCAGCUAAACCCAUAAUACACGUGCUGACAACUCAAUGUGUCUUGGGGUUUGCUGAGUGGAAGCUGCCAUAUAUUACAUACAGAUGCUGGCUUGACAAGAUUAGUAGGGGAGCUCUGGGUCAAGAACAAGAAGGAUAUCUCAAAGUCAUUACAUAUGUCAGCCAAGGAUGAAGUGCAAGUGAAAGGAAAUCCUCUGUGCCUAAACGUGAGUUCCUUGACCUUUAAUUUGCUAUAUCUGAGAAACUCAAUGACUGUUUGCAGUGAACUCUGAGGUUAAAAUUGAUAACAGUCCUUUAACCUGUGUUCUUUAAACAGCAGGCUUGUAGGUUACCCCUCACUGAUGGAUAACA